GGAUGAAGAACAAGUCAAGAAAAAGAAGCUCACUUCAUGGGUUUGGGAGCAUUUCACAAGGUAUGAUGUAGAAGUGGAGCAAACUGAUGGUUCCAUUGUUAAGCAAAAAUGGGCAAAAUGCAAAAAAUGUGCACAUAAAGCUAAGGCUGAUGCCUUUCGUUAUAUUGUCUUGUGGACGCGUGGUUGAUGCCUUUCGUUCGAAGCUUAAACCUGAAAUUAUUGAAGCCUUGGUUUGUACUAAGGAUUGGAAGAUUGCUUCAGAGAAAGAUUUGGAGUGUGAAAUAAAAACUAUAGCUGAAGCUAUGAAUGCUAUGGAGGUGGACGAUGAUGUCGCGACUUGAGAUCUUCAAACAAGCUUGGAUUGCUUGCACUAUUUUAUGCCAUUUGAAAAUUACCUUUUAUUGUAAUAGUCUAUUGUGUUGAACUAUCUUGUGCUAUGUUAGACUCUUGUGUGAUGUGAACUUAUCGCUAUUAUAUUUGAACUAUUGUGUUAGACUAUUGUAUGCUAUGAACUUAUUGUUAUAUUGUCUUGUUGA